GCGUGUGUCCAAUUCAGUCGGCAGAGCGUGAGACUUAAUCUCACGGUUGUGGGUUCGAGUCCCACGUUGGGCA